rnacentral:lncRNA from 1 species
CUACUGCUCCAGAAGGCAGUGGUGUGGUCAAGAAGCAAAGUCAUAGUUUACAUGGAAGAUCACUAAUUGUCAUGGAGCUUGCUGAUGAUUUGGUUGUAGAUGAAAGGCAAUGCAGAAACUUCUACUCUUCAAGAAACCACAUGUCACCUGGAAGUAAAGUUAUUGUGACAAGCAGAUCAGAGAAUAUAAUGAAACUUGGUACUACAGCAGCUCUUAAGUUGGAUUUUUUAUCUCAGGAAGCUUACUGGUACUUCUUCAAAGUGAUGGCUUUUGGAAGCACAAAUCCUGAUGACCACCCAGCGCUAGCAUCAAUAGCUAUGGAAAUUGCAGCAGGGCUUCAAGGAGGUUUCUUGGGUGCACAUGCCAUCUGCGGCUUUCUAAGAGCUAAUAUCCACAAUUGGUUUUGGAACAUGAUCCUUGAAUGUCAGAGAAACAAUAUAGAGAGGAAUAUCCUCAUCUUUGGUGAACAUCCACAGUCUCUUCUUUGGAAGAGCCAGAUUGCAUAUGUUUGGACUCUGUCCAACAUUUCCGUGAGGGUCAAAGUUCUUCAUUUUCAAACACGUUCCCCUCUGAAUGAUGUCCGAAA